rnacentral:rRNA from 1 species
UUGACCUCGGAUCAGGUAGGAAUACCCGCUGAACUUAAGCAUAUCAAUAAGCGGAGGAAAAGAAACCAACAGGGAUUGCCUUAGUAACGGCGAGUGAAGCGGCAACAGCUCAAAUUUGAAAUCUGGCCCUCGGGCCCGAGUUGUAAUUUGGAGAGGAUGCUUUCGGUACGGUGCCUUCUGAGUUCCCUGGAACGGAACGCCACAGAGGGUGAGAACCCCGUCUGGUCGGA